UACGGAGGGUGCAAACGUUAUCCGGAUUCACUGGGUUUAAAGGGUGCGUAGGCGGGUAAGUAAGUCCGUGGUGAAAUCUCUGAGCUUAACUCAGAAACUGCCGUGGAUACUAUUUGCCUUGAAUAUUGUGGAGGUGAGCGGAAUAUGUCAUGUAGCGGUGAAAUGCUUAGAUAUGACAUAGAACACCAAUUGCGAAGGCAGCUCACUACACAAUCAUUGACGCUGAGGCACGAAAGCGUGGGGAUCAAACAGG
rnacentral:rRNA from 1 species